UGGAUGAUGUGGUUUAAUUCGAUGCAACGCGAAAACCUUACCCACCUUUGACAUGUACGGAAUCCUUUAGAGAUAGAGGAGUGCUCGAAAGAGAGCCGUAACACAGGUGCUGCAUGGCUGUCGUCAGCUCGUGUCGUGAGAUGUUGGGUUAAGUCCCGCAACGAGCGCAACCCUUGUCAUUAGUUGCUACAUUCAGUUGGGCACUCUAAUGAGACUGCCGGUGACAAACCGGAGGAAGGUGGGGAUGACGUCAAAUCAUCAUGCCCUUUAUGUCCUGGGCUACACACGUGCUACAAUGGUCGGUACAACGAGAAGCAAGCCAGCGAUGGCAAGCAAAUCUCUAAAAGCCGAUCCCAGUUCGGAUUGCAGGCUGCAACUCGCCUGCAUGAAGUCGGAGUUGCUAGUAAUCGCGGAUCAGAAUGCCGCGGUGAAUGCGUUCCCGGGUCUU
rnacentral:rRNA from 2 species